UUCUUAUGAUUGUAUUUUCAAAGUUUAUUUGCUUUACUAAUCUAUAUUCUACUAGUGACCAAAACUAUCUGGGAGAAAUAUUUGGUUCCCAGUGUGCCACCCGGAAAUGGGAAAACUGAGUCAGAUAGUCUGCUACUGUCUGCUGGCUGAGAACAUCAGCUAGCAAGAGAGGCCACCCUAGAGCAACUCCUAGAUCAGUACACCACCUUUGUCAAGCCUGCCUUUGAAGAAUUCUGCUUGCCAGAUGAUCAGAUUGAAGACAGUGGAAGCAAAAAAAAAUAUUUGAACCAGCUGCAUGAAUAAAGGAAACUGAAGGCAAAGAAUAAAAAACUCAAGGAAUAAGAAAAAGAAGGCAAGGAAUAAAAAAUAAAAAAAAAAACCUCAGUAAGAAAAAGCUGAUGCAUGUCUUGGUUACCGAGGUGUGUCCAUGGAGUAACAGUUGUAUCACUUCACUCUCUUGAACAACCAGAAAAAGCAAUGAAAAGUCACUAAAAACUCAACAAAAUACAGCUGGAAUUUCUUCAGAAACUCACUAAGCCACAGGUAAAAUCUCUCAGAAACAGUAAGUAUUCUGGAUUCAGUCACUUACUGAGAACAGUCUUCUGCAAAGACAAGGCUGGAGAAUCACCCCAAUUCCAGGGUCAUCGGCUAGCAAGGGACCACCCUGGAGAAGCUUUGAGCACAACACAUCACCUUUGUCAAACCUACUUUAAAGAAUUCUUCUUGCCAAUGAAAACAGUUCCUUCCCUCCACAACUAAGAAGCCUUGCCUGUCUCAAUUUUGGAUAAGAAAAGUGAUGAGCAACCAACAUGUGGACAGCUUUGCUUCACUUCCCUUCAUAUCUGUGUCUGGAAUUCUGUCCUCUCUCAUCAUGAAGCAAGGACUCUGUGUAUCUUCCCUCUACUGUAUCCCCUUGGCCAGAGGGGCUCCUGGCUCUGAGGAAAGGCUGAGUGAGUGUGUGCUGGUGGGGAGACAGGUGGGUGGGUGAGUAGAUGUAGAACUAGAUGGUGAUGCAUGGACGGUGGGGCAUGAGCAGAGAUGAAAAUUCAGGGGUCUAUGUGAAACCUGUUCCUUUCUGAGUGAGGGAUCCACCACAUGAGGUAUGUGCUACAGAGCUUACAUCUGGUCUCUGCCCAGGAUGCUCAACAGCCAAGGACACUGAUGGAGUCACCCACAGGGUCCAUGUAAAAACUCAGUGGUGGGAGCUUCUGAGUUUCUGAUGCUGUGCUCUGUGGUGUUAACACAUCAGAAAUAGUAACUUUGUGCUCUUCUGUUCUCUCCAAUUGUACUUGCUUAAAUAACUCUAUGUAAAGCUGGACUAUUUGAAAUGUAAGAAACCUCAUUAAUGGGGAACAGAGCUGCCCUGCAUGUAACCUCCAUAUAGUGUUUGGAAUCAGAUUGACCCUCUGAGAAUCAUACUGAAGGUGGGCCUCCUCCCAGAACCCACUCAGGAUAGUGGUAUCAAAGCAGCGUUCACUGGACACUUACUGUGCCGAGGCUGUCCUAAGCAUAUCCACGUGUCUCGCUCCAUCUCUGAGGUGUCCUGUUUUGCAAGUGAAACUUCUGAGACAUGGGAGGUAGACUUGCCAGAGUUACGGGGGAAAACUAGGGGUUCACCCUGGACCUGUGUCCUUGCACCAAGAUCUAGGAUAAUGCUUGUAGCAAAAAGUUUUAAAAAUAUUAACAAUGAACUAAAUGCCCAGAGCCUGUAGGUUAGUUGAGUGUGUGUAUCUAAAGCAAAUUUUCUCUGUUGUAUACAUAGUAAAAAAAUUUUUUUUAAAUAUAAGGAAAUCAGAAAGGGAAUAAAAAUGGUUGCCAGGAGCAAUGCCAGCACUGGGGACUCACUAAACCCCAGCGAUAACACUAGUGUAAUGGUGGGUGUCAGGGGAGAGUAUAGGUCCUAGGAAAGGAUAACACUAGGGUACUAAAAUAAGAUGUAAUAGGAGGGUCAUGUGGUGGUGUACCUGGUUAAUUGCACAUAUUACCAGUGUGAGAACCCUGCUCCCCACCUAUAGUGGGUAAGCUUCACAAGUGGUGAAGCAGGUACUGCAGAUAUCUCUUUCUCUCUACCUCUUUCUCCCUCUUCUCUCUCAAUUUCUGUUGGUCCAGUCAAUUGAAAACAAAAUAAUAAAAUUAAUAAAGAAUAAAUAUUAGAGGAGAAGUGGAGAGUUCUGGGCCAAUGAUUAGUGUAUGUAUGUCACAUCAUCACAGGUCCCAGCACUGGGCUAGAUGGUGGCAGUGGCCUCUCCAGAGGUUGUGGCAGUUCCAGGGAGGCCUGCAGCUGAGGCACCAGGAAAGAAAGGUGGGGACCCUAGUCGGGGUUGUGGUGGUCUAUUUUAUGGUUGGUAUAACACAAACAUAGCUGGAAGCUUUGUGCUCCUUCCUCGUAGGGACCCCAGAAUGAGACAGGGAAGUGUCUGAGUGAGCUAUGGCCACUGUCCCCUGCAUGUGGGAAUGACCAAAGCUCAGAGCCUGCAGGCUGGUAAUCAAUGACUCCAAUUCACUGCUGAGUCUGGUGCCAACACUGGGAAGACUCAAGAGCACUGCCUCUCCAGACAGGAUGGCACUGCUAGAAGGGCCUGCUCCCAGAGCACCAGGAAGAGUGGGAACUCCAGAUGGGACAGUGGUGGUCUCCUUAUCAAUGGGGCAUUGUCAGAGUUGAUGAUUCUGUGGUCUUUCUCAACCAUGGCACUAGAGGAGGACAGGGCAGUGGCUGAAGGACCCUGGGCCACAAUCGCCUAUGUGGUAAAGUGAUACAGGCUCAGAACCUGAAGCAUGAUGAUGAAAGUGCCCGUAUCAUACCCCCUACUGUUGUCAGCACGGGAAGAGUGGUGGCUGUUGUCCCUACAGAGGUGGUGGCAGUGACUUGGUGGCCUCCAGCCUGGGCAGUAGCAGCGGUGGGCUGGAUUUUGGCAGUGGCACCCUCAAUGGUGGCUGUGGCUGAAGACCCCCCUUAGACCUGCCCACAGUGACCUGAUUUUGACUGGAGCUGGGGACCUCUGUGGUGUCAGAGGAGGCCUGAUUCUUCUUGGAGGCUGAAACCUCAGAACUUGGGCCACUGUUCUUUCUUCCUCCAGAGACCCCUGUGAUCUGCUUACCUGUGGUUGCAGCACAUUUUGUCACAGUCACUUGUGGAUCUUGGUGACAAUGCUUACAGGUUGGUGGUGGCAGUGGCAUCCCUUUUCCCAGCACCUGGCCUGGUGGAGGCUGGUGCCCAAGAAGUAAGUGCCAGGGGGCCUACAUCCAGGGCAGCCAUAGCAGCAGAGAGCUGGCUACAGGUAGGGGUACCCCACAUGGGCACUGUAGUAGAGGAGCCCUGAGUGUCUGGGAAUGUAGUGGAGAAGCCCCCCCACCCUCACCCCCAAUCUAGUGCUGUGGUGGAGUGUGCUCUGCUGGGCGGAGCAGUGUCAGAAGUGGGAGCCCCAGGCUUCUUUGCAUGGCCCCCAGAGAGCAUCUGCACAGGGGCUAAGUGACCUGUGUCCAUGGUCCCCUGUGAGCUGGAGUGAUUAUGGCUUAGAACCUGAGGGCUGGUCAUGGGAGUGUCCCCAUCAUACCUCUUGCUAAAGCCAGCAGUAGACACUGUGGUGGCAACUGUCCCUCCAGAGGCCAGAGGCCUGCCAGAGUAGACUUCUGCCAUGUAGAGAACAAAUCUGGAGAAGGUACUUUUGACUAUAGUGGUCUACUUUGUUCUUGAUGGGACACUGUCAGAGCUGGGGGCUUUAGGGUCCAUCCCACCAAGGCCCAAAGAAGGGGACAGGGC